ensembl:lncRNA
GGCAAAAUAUGCAAUUACUUAAGCACUUAUUUCUUAGAAAAAUAGAACCGUAAAACUAUUUUAUAUAUAUAUUUUUUGCUUGCUUUUGUUUGGUCAUAGGAACAGCAUAGAAAGUCAUCUAAGAAGAACAGGAAGCCAUGCUAGAAGAAGGAAGAAAACUUCAAGAGUAGAUCAACAAAUAGCAGUUGACAAAAAUCAGUGUUAAAAGAAGAAAUUUUCUAUUGCCACACAAAAUACUCAUGCUAUAGCCAAAUAUGCAUUGGACUGUGAGUGAGGAGACCUGGUUUUUACUUCAAGCUUUUUCAUCAUUCUACCUGUGUGACUUGAGGUAAGUCAGCUUCAGAAACAAGAAAUUUGGGAGGUGUGGAUAACAACACAUUAGAAGAUUAUUAAAUCAAUUAAGUGGACCAUAAUGAACAAUUUUUAGAGAAAUAAAUAAGAAUGCAGUGAAGUAGAAAAUAUUUGUGUCCCACAGAUAGCAAGUAUUUAUACUCUGUGAAAGUUCUGUUUCAGUUAUAUAGAUGUCUCGUGGCUUGCCAUAGAGUGUAGGAUCAACCCUUCUCAAAAAAAAAGAAUUGUUUCAAGUGUUGAGACACCAAGAAGAUAUGUGAAAAGGUUUCUUACUCAUAUAAUGAGGUUUUCUGCGAGUAGUAUGGCAGGCACCCAAGUGGGUCCAAAAUGGCUUGAAUGAAGAAAGGAACAGGUGGUUUUGUUUUUCAUUGUGAUUUGAGGGUGGGACUAGAAUAAGGGUUCCUGGGGCUUGAGCGAUUUGCACUUCCCUUGGCACCAAAGGAGAGGAUAUGCAUGCUUUCUUAUCAGCCUUCCUAGAUUUGGGGAAGAAGAGAAAAAGGGAGUGGUUGGGCUUUAAAGUUUUCAUGGUCAAACAUGAAAAUGGUCAGAAUCUUUGUUACAACAGACACAUAUGUGUAGACCUGGUCACUUCUUAUUGAGAAGUGCAAUCAAAAAAGUAUAGCUUCUACUCUUGUGCAGUUUUUACCAUUUAAUAUUAAGGAAAAUAACGCUGUGUAGGGGAGGAGGACAUUUCCUCUCCCGAAAUGGGGGUUCGUCUAGCCGGAGAACGAAUUAAAUUCACAUGAGACAGAAUAGCAAGAGAAAAUUAAACAAAGCUUUAUGAGGAACCAUGGCCCGGGGCCUUUCUUCCCGAAGGAAGAAAGGGCACCGAAGAAGUGGGGCCCACGUAGUGGUUAUAUAGCCCCCAAACGGGGUGUUUCACAUGUGAUUGAAAAGUCCCUUUUACAAUAGUCACGAGGCUGCUCUGUCAGCACAGCGCUUGAUGGAAAUAGCAGAUAGGUCUGCUGUCUCAGUGAGUGCCACAGGGUGGCAGGUGUGUUGCCUCGGGCUGGGGGGGGGGGGUCACAGAUAAGCGCCGCAAUCGGUUCCCAGCCUAAAGAAAGAUGCUUAAUCUUUAAGGAGAUGCCAGCGUUGGGAGGGGGAGGGAAGUCAGUUACAGGAGGUUACCAGACUAGCACAAUAAAAUGCAGAUUUUAAGUCCUUGCCUUUGGUAUUGAUUGAGAGUUUUUGGAGAGUAGGUCAUCUCCUUUCUUCUUCCUAGUACAGAGAGGGAGGCAGCUUUUACAGAUAGAGAUUUACCUUACAAAUGUAAGUGUGUCCUAAGGAAGGGCAAGUUCCAUUCCUCAGAGCCUCCUUCCCUGUCCCAGUUUAUCAAAAGCAAUCAGCCUCAAAUAAUCCUGAUGCCAAAGAGACAUAUCUUGGGGUGGCCAAUUCCAGGUCCCCACAGCUGAUAAAAUUUCAAAAUGUUUGAACUCUUGAAGGGAUGUUGUGAGGGUAGAGUUCUAGUAUAUGUGCUUCCCAUCUACUUCUUUUACUGCAGUACAAGGGGAUUUGUGCAACUGGAAGGAGACCUUUAUUACUAAUGGGUACUUGGGUCUUACGCAAGACCUAUGGUGCAUGUUAGCCAUUGUUCAUAUAAAAUUCUUUUGCAAGAUAUCCUGCCCAUUGGUAGGCAUAUGAUUCCCUCUCAACUGUAUGAAUAUUGUGGGGGACUGGAAUUGACCACCCCAAGAUAUAUCUCUUUGGCAUGAGGAUUAUGUGAGGCUGAUUGCUUUUGAUAAACUGGGACAGGGAAGGAGGCUCUGAGGAGUGGAACAUUUAUAUUUACAUUUAGGAGACAUUUACAUUGUAAAGGAAAUCUCCAUCUGUAAAGAUAUCCCCCUCUGUACCAGGAAGAAGAAAGCAUGACCUUCUCUCUAGAAACUCUUAAUCAACGCCCAAGGCAAGGACUUAAAUCUGCAUUUUGUUUACUCUACUUGUGUGGUAAUCUCCCAUGAUCACUCCCCCUCCCAACGUUGGCAUUUCUUUAAGGAUUAAGCAUCUUUCCUUAGGCUAGGAACUGAUUGCUGGGCUCACCUGUGACCACCCAGCUCAAGACAAUAGACUUGCCUCCUGCUGUGUCCAUCAAGCGCUGUGCUGACAGGGCAAUCUUGUGACUAUUGUGGGAGGGACAUUUCAAUCAUAUGCGAAACACCCUGUUUGGUGGUAUAUAACCACUUUGUGCACCCCACUUCUUCGGUGCCCUUUCUUCCUUUGGGAAGAAAGGCCCCGGGCCAUGGUUCCUCAUAAAGAUUUGUUUAAUUUUCUCUUGCUAUUCUGUCUCAUGUGAAUUUAUUUCGUUCUCCGGCCAGAUGAACCCACUUUGGAUAGAGGAAAUGUCUUUCUCCCCUACAAUAUCAUAUCUACAAAUAUCACAGGAUGGUCAAGGAAACAUAUAUAUAUAUAUAAUGUAUACCAGAUAUAUAUAUGAUAUAUCUAGUAAUAUAUCAGAACUCUCAGCCAGGAUGAUACUACCUUUGGGAAGUCAUACUCCUGACCCUGAUGGAUAUCCAUUUCCUGAAAGAUCUUCCUGAUUUGGAGCAGCUCUAGCUCUCUGUUGUAGAUGCUCCUGCAUUGUGCCUUGGAGAAAGUUAUAUUUUGGGGCCUCUUCCUCCUUAAUCUCACUCAAAGUAAGUGAUUGUUGAUGCCAAAUACUUAUAACAUUUUAAAUUACCUCCUUAAAAUCCACAAUAUCGUUAAUAAAAAC